UAAGAUUCUGUUGGAGAGCCAUCCAAUCAAAUCAAGAGACUUUCCAAAGCAUCUGUAUGGGCUGUUUCCAUGGAGCAGCAGUUUUGUACUGAAGCUUUAAAUCAAAUUCCAACUCAAUUGUGAUCUAAGCUAUUCGGUCGGCAUCCUUCAGGCCUGGGGGUAGCUCAGACACAGGACUGUCUCUCAACUUCUCUUGAUUCUACCAUGUGCCAGCUCAUCUGUCAUCUCCUCAACUGUGUGCUGAGAUUCUGACGUGCUCACUAGGAUUUCCUUUCGGUGAUGAAAAACCACAGUGCCGAAUAUGCACGAGGGAACUGCAGCUUUUCCGGAUGGGCUCUACUGGUGUUGUGCAUAUUGUAGGAAUGGGUCUGGGAACUGCAGUGUUAAAACUCAGUGAUUUCAAUGGGUUACAAAAUGAUACCCAACAGGGGUGCAUGCAACCCAAAUCAUCUUUGUGGAAGCUAUUACUAAUAGUGUCCCCAGGGAUGACAACUCCUCAGGGGGAUGUCUCACUUACAUCAAUGUCAUGUUGCCAUUUAUAACGCAUCACUUUCUAUAACAGAGGCCUACCAUGCCACAAACAUGGAACACUUCUCUGGCAGCUCUCAGCUCUCCAAACUGCUUUGGGCAGGACCCUGAGACAGACAUGCUUCAGUCCAAUCUGCUAUUCAACAGUCCCUACUGCAAGACCUGCAACUGCCUAAAACUACGAACCUGUGACUUGACAGUCUCUCCAGCUUUCUAGCACACCCUCUGCUGCCUGACUGAUCCAGGUUGAAUGUCAUGCGGCCAGUGUCAGAGUUACACCUGUAAUCCUAGCACUCAAGGAGCUGAGGCAGAAGGACUACUGUGAGCUCAAGGUCAACCUGGGCUACAAAAGGAUGGCAAUAACCUAUCUACAGAUAAGACCUCGCGGUGUCACCCAGCACACCCUGUUACUGCACACCCUGGCUGAAGCGCCAUCAAGGUAAAACUUCAGAGCUGAUAUUUGGUCUCUGACGCUGAAGCUGCCCUCUGAGAGGCAUAUGGAAAGCCCUAGAAGCACAUGCCUCUGGGUGGUAGGACUAUAGGAUAUUUGGAUUUUUAUGACUUGAUUUGUAAUUGUUUUCAUAUAGAAUAGUCUAUACAGUUGGAGACUUUUUUUUUAAAGAAAUACAACAUACUUAGAUUUCUUCUUCAGUUGUGAUAGGUCACAGAACAAAGAUCCAUUUUCUAAUGCCAGACUUUCUGUACUACCUUUCAGUCCGUCUGAUGUUAGUUGUAACAUAGCCCCAGGCAUGCUAUCUGUGUUUCUACUCUUCAUGGAGGUGGGAACAAAGGGAAGAAAGGGACAUAGCCAUGGUGCAAUUGUUCAAAACCAGGGAGAAACGACCAAGGAGUAACUCAAACAAAUAAGACAAGUCGGAAGUUAGAAAAUAGGUAUGGAAACUUGUAACAGACACCCAAAUGACUAGCAGUUUGUGGUAUCCUAGGCACACUGCCUUCCACCAGCAUCUCGCACUGAUGACAGUCCCACUCAGUCUAGAUGAUCCUACCCAAGGCCAAGAGGGACACUGGUAAGGGAUGAACUCUGGUUCUGCUUCACACUCAACAUUCCUGACUGGGCCCACAAUGAUCAUGAGGUGCAGAUGAUCGAAGCGCUAAAAAUGUAACAAAAAGCUGGUUGCUUCAGUACCUAAAAUGUAAGAGGAAACCAUCCAUUUUAGGUAACACUCUAACAUCAGCAGGGCAGAUAGUCUUGCCAGUAAAGUACUCUGGGGCUCUAGAGCCACCCAGAGCAGCAAGAUAAAGAUUUCUCUAGAAGUAAGAAACUGAGCUAAGCAAAUGCCAGUAAUUAUAAUGUAAGUAUAAAGCAACGGAAAGGCAACACACUCCUCAUUCUUUAAGUUUAUGCUCUGAAGAACUCCUUAUCCAAACCUAGCAGCAAGCUAUCUUUGUAUCAUGACCAUAAAAAGCUCCCAGGCCACUAAACCUUUAACGCUUGCAACUGCCAGUGGAGUUUUAAAAUCAAGGGGUGGUAUGCAGCCAAUCUGAGCUGAAACUCAGGCCGAUAAACCCCUAACAAGCUCCCUCAGGAGUAAGGUGGCAGAGGGGACAUCAACAUACUAUGUUGAGGGAAUCUUCCCCCACAAAAAGGGAAACAAAAUUCCCAUCUUAAGAACAAGUUUUACAUUUUAAACACCACAGACAACAUUUUCCAAAACAUUUGUUAUUCUGCACUUACAGGGAAGCAGAGCAGUGUCUCCAGAGUUUGAGAGUUCUUGUUUGCCUACUCCACAUGGAGUGUUCUAACACUGGCCACACUGCCCUAACCCUUUUCUCUCGUAGCUAUUUACCUUACUUACUUCAUCUCCUGUGCUUAGCAGUGAUUAGCAGGAGCAGUGCAAUGUGAAUGGAUGUGUGGAAGGAUGACUUCUGCCUGGAACUGGGCAUGAGACUCAGAGGGCUCUGUAGCCUAUGGGGAAAUAGUGUCAAAACACAUGCCUUUCUUAGGCCAGGAGCCCAGAAGACACUACCUGUCCUUUUGCCCAAUAGGUGUAGAAGCCAACAUGUAUGUUAAGGAAUGCCCUCUUUCAAAACACGCAUACUCCAAGAAACUGAUUCUACAAAUGCAGAAGCACCAAGCAGGUGUUAACACUGUUGUCAUUUAGGACAACUACAUUUUAAACAGACUCUACAUUGAUAAUUAAGAAACAUUUAGAAAGUACUUGGGUUUAAGAAUCCAGCUGUCUCUAUCUCUGGCUGGACUAAAAUUUCUAACAGACUGUUCUGAUCCACCAUCUUAUAAUCAUGAACUCUGAGCAGGGGUGGCUACAAAGAACUUUCCAUCUAAAGAUUCUGUCAUGAGGACAACCUGCAUGGGUCUCAAAUAUGACUAUAGUAUCAGUUCUAGAACAAAUCAAAUACCAUUUAAAAAUAAUUAACACAAAUAACACAUUUGUUCCAGCUUUAAAGUCUUGGAAAACGCUUGAGAAUAAGCAUGUGCAAACUAGCACUAACACAAACUGUGACCAAUAAUUACUAAAAUGACACAACAGCCAAUGUUUACUGGCAGAAGGUCAAUCAAUACAAAACGGUACAUAGUACACAUUACCAACUCCUAAAUGCAUCUUAAGUUCAGACAAGGUAGGUAGCAGCACUCCGCCCUUGACGUUGGUUUUGUAGGAGUGAGAAGCCGGUGUGUCAAUCUUAGAGACGGAUUAGUAGGAAGCACAUGGGAAGCACUCUCCCGUGACUACUGAUUUGAGACCUGCGAGCUGGGCAGGGAGGGAGCAUAGAGGGGAAGAAGAAGGAAACACGUACCGUGCAAAUGUGAGGCCAGUGUUCAAACUGCUGUAAAACUCCUUGGUUAAGGUCUUCUUUAUAAAACUCUUUGUAAAAAUGUGGAAGCUUAGAGAUCCAAAUGCCAUUGUUAUGCUUGUCUAAUAUUUCCUUUAUGCGGUUUUGAACCUCAUCCAUCUUAUUAGUGUAAGAGGCAGGAGGCGUGACAUUUGGUUUCUCAACAGUCUGAUUUAAAUUAUCUUUAAAUUAAAAGAAUGAUAGAAUUAAUAGAUUAUUCCAUUACCUAGCAUUUGUGUCUCUGACUUUGCUAUGCUCUGGGCUCUGGGGUCCUGGAUUUGGAAGAAGGUGGGACUAGGCUGAGCAGCACUAAGGACCACCUCACCUAUUACCCCUGAAUUAUAUAACAUUGACCACCAAUGAGGGAGCUUCUCCAUUUUGCAAGGAUACUUUAUAGUUUGCUUUGAACAUUAUGGCAAUCUUGUUGGGUAAAAAAUAAUCUUUUACUAUUUAACUAAUGUUUUUCUAACAAAAACUAAGGGACACGACAUUUUAGAUAAUAUAAAUAUAUGUGCUCAACUGAAGCUAUAAUCCACGAGGCACAAAAAUAAUGCCUUAGAAGGAAGAGUGCUUUUAUAAAAGAUAAAAAGGUGCCCAGGUUUCCCAACAAUGGUGAACUUGCUCUUUAUCUAAGGCAAACAAUUUAGCAAUCCACAGGAGCCUGGAAUCUACAAAAACUGAUCCCAGCUAGUUUAUGGACAGCAACUGCAGCUCUGGCUUCUACCUCUUCAAUAUUUAUCGUUCAUAAGGUUUUAGCUGGCUUCUUUUGCUCCUGUUUAUUUUUUUAUUUAAAACUCAGAGUGCCGGAGUUUACAUACUAAGCAAGAGAAACUUGUGCAUUACUGUGACCAUUUUGGUAUUUUAACUAUGGAAAUAAUGUCAAACCUCUAUAGCAUUCUAUCAGAAUAUUAAAUCAAAGUAUUAAAAUCUAACACCUACAUGAAAAAAUUUAUUUACAAUUUAAUCAGAUAUCUUUUUUGCUAAGUAUAGUCAUUUUUAUUUUCUUUUUGAUUAACUAAUAGAGAAAUAUAGUCUAGUUUGGGGACACUGGUCUCUAAAGAUAUCAGGUACCAAAAAGAGUUUUCCUUGUGGAUCCUUAGAGAUUACUCCUCUCUUCUCACUAGAAGACACAAGGAUGUGCCUCUGACACCCUUAGACUGGCACAGAGAGGAGAAGGGUCCAGGAUAUGCAGAACUGUUUCCUAUUAAGGAAAUAACUUACUCUAUUUUAAACUCCCAAAGAGGCAUAUAACUUCACUGAGUAGUCAUGAUUUAGAAAACUGAUAUGUAAAAGUAGUUCUUAUGUAUAUGAAUCAUACUAUUCAUUUUCAUAAUCAAUACCGUAAGAACACUCCUGUGGAAAAGGCAUUUGACCUCAAUUAGAGACGUACUGCAAGCAACAAACCCUGUCCAGUCAUUUCAUGGAGCACACAGCCAGCCCUCUAGAAAGCUGCCUUUGGUGAGAGUACUCAGUGUUUGCACAAGACAAGUCCAUGAGUGGUGUAUGUCUAACCAGCAACCAGCAGCUUCCUUGGCUUUAUUUACUAUCCUACUGUUUUCCUGGUGGCCCUUUUCAUUUCAUAACCAAUAAUUACUUAUACCUAGCUGUCAUCUCACAGUUUAAAAAAAAUUUUAAUCUUUAUUUUUAUUUUAUGUGCAUGGCUGUUUUGACUGCAUGUAUGUCUGUGCACCUCCACAUAUAUGUGGUGCCUGCAGAAGUAAGAAGAGGGUGUCAGAUAUUCUGGGACAGGAACCAUGUUGUUUUGGGAGUCAAACCUAGAUCCUUUGGAAGAAAAGCCAGUACUCCUAACUUCGGAGUUACUUCUCCAGGCCCCACACCUCCCAGUUUAUAGUGCCAACUUUUACUAAUACAGCAUCUUAAGCCUCUCUUAUGAGUUUAAGCUCUACAUUUAGGACCUUGAAACAAAGCAGGGAGUUUCCUUAAAGUGAAGCCUCCGAGUGCCAAGUCUUGAGGGUUCACCCUCUAAUCAGGGAGUGGGUGAGGAAAACAGGUAACUGUACAGGGGACACCUGGACAUGGAGCAGAAAGGGUCUGUUGAGAUGAAGGCCUCACUUCACACUGACAAUAUCGCUAGAAGCAUUAUUUUCUCUAAAGAUCACUUCAAUCCCUGAGUUUAAAGUUAGAAAGGCAGUGAGGGAGAUAAAUCUCAUGCAAGAUAAGGUGAGAGCACACAUCAAAGCCAACAUUCGAUUAUUUCUGUUGGGGCCCAAGACUCAUGCCACAUCUGGAAACAUACCAUUCACUUCCUUAGGGCAGGCCCGUGAGAUGUGUGUCUGGAAAGGUGCUGGCAGGGAUGACUUUGGACUGAACCUAAGGUGUGAAAACAGCAAGUUUUAAACACUCUACUUUUCAUUUAAAGUCCCCAUGUCACUGACCAACAAAAUAACAUGCAAAUAUUACAAAAUAAGAACACAAAUUUGGCAUCAUAUUUCAUAUUUACUCAGAGAAAAGUAUGUUAAAAACUAAGUUUAAAGUAGGUUUUUGAAAGUCUCUUUCAGAACCUGGAGUCAGAGUUUCAACUAAUCUUUAAAGGAAUAAAUAAAUAAAAGCACAUGAAGAAUAAACGCUUACAGACUAUUUGGAACAUAACCCCGUGUGAAAGCUUAGCCGCAGUGCAGAGUGGGCAGGUGAGCGGGCCCUUUAAACGGGUGCUGGAGUGAGAAGCACAGCCCUUCAGACACAGGUUCUCGGUAAUGAAAGUAGAGUGUUAAAGUAGGCAGGCAGGCUGCUCCAAUCACCUAAGAGAGGAGAGGCAGACACCUGCCUACCUCAUAGCCUUCCAACAUAAUUUACCAUCAACUACUGUACUUACACAGGAAGAUGUUUCCAAACACGUGUAUGAACAAACCACACCCACAUGCAUGCAUGCACAUACACCCACACACAUCCAUAUGCUCCUCCACAUGCACCCCAUAUCAACACCCCCACAUUCUCAUUCAUGCUCAUUCUAUUCUCUCAUUCCCUCCCCCAACUCCCUCUCUCCUUCACUAGUGUCCCAGGCUCUUGAGUAAUGCUUAGUACUAGCAAGGGAGAGUGAGUGUUGUAAGACUGGCUGAAUGAACCAUGAUCAGAGGAAACAGUGACCACAUUUUUCUCAUUAGGGGAGGCAGUUACAAUUUUGAGCAGCUCGAGAGAUUUAAAGACUAAGCAGUUUCAAAUGAAGCAUAUUUCCUAAUGGUAUUUUAAUUCUACAAGAAGCAAUCAGUCUGUCAACUACUAAUCAGGGCUUUUAGCACACAUCAUUGCUGGCAUUACACACCUCUGCAUCAGCCUAUAUAAGUGCUCAACAGAAAAUGCCAAAGCAUAUCUUUCUACCAAACCAUUUUUUAAUUAAUUUUUCCUAUUUUAUUUAGUAUCUAGAUGGAAAGUUUCUGAAGAAAAAUUGAUCUUUAUCCCAAACAGACACUGCUUUAAAGGAGUAUGAUAUCACAAAUUUACAAAAGGUACAACUUUCGACUUGGAAGGAAGAUGGGACACUGAUUUAUCAGUGUCAGAGCUCAGCAUGUGUUUCCUGUCAGGAGGCCAUCAGGACAGACUCCAGGCUCUGCACAACCCUCAGCUCUGCCACUGCAGCACAAAGCAGCCCCAGUCACACAGGGACAGAUAUGGCCAUGCUCCUGUAAAGCUGACUUACAAAAGCAGACAGUGAGGUUUUGGACUGUAGCCCAUAAAUUGUAGCUUGCUGGCCUCUGGGUGACUUCUUAAAACCGUAACACUUAGAAAUAGAAAGAAACCAUUUGAUCAACUACGUGCAUGCUUUCACUGGACAAGUAAGGAGUCCUCUGCACAACAGAAAAUAAUGAGCUUACUGUUGGCUGGCUCGUGCAUGGCCACACCCAAGUCGAAGCUAGGAGUGCCUUGGCAGUAGUCCAGUUCCAUGGCACAAAUAUCCCGGAUGCCAGUGCACCAGGAUUAAAUGCUACUACCUGACUGUGGUAAUUACCAGAGCAACAGUGAAUGAAUAUACAGCUAAAUGAGAUUUUACCUGAAACUCACCACAUGUAAGAACAAUUUUGUAGAAAAAUUUGAAAAUUACAUAAAAUGGCAUCUUAGAAGAACUUAUUAGAUGUGUACAGCUGACUGGACAUGGAGGGAUGGCAACAGCAGGAGGAAACAGUACAGGGGAUCAUGGGGGAUGCCAUCAGGCAGUAAGAGGACCAACAGUGAUGCAUGUGAUGCAGGCGAUACAAAGAAAAUGCUUCUCCACAAGAACACACACUUCUAACACUUGUUACCCAGCUCUCCGCACUGCUCCCUUAAGCCAGACAAAGCCCAGGGUACCUGCUGUUGGCAGACAUGCUCACGUGCCUCUGCACUGGAGCGUCUGGGUAAGGUGGCAUGUCCACAUCAGCCUUAGCUCCCAAGGUGCUUCCUUUUUCUCUUAACAGCGUUGGAUUGGGUUUCUUGCUGAUAGAAUAGUCUGAAGCAAAUCCUGGUUGUCUGAGGGUUGCCUUGGGUUUCCCUAUAAAUUAGGCAGAUAGAACAGAAUCAGCGGGUUUCCUCAAACUAAAGCUUCAUUAUGUUGCUCCAGAUAUUUCUGUGGGUCACACUUCUCAGAACAAUUUGAAAAAACACAAGAAGGGGUCUCUGGUAGUGUUGAGUAGGGGAGAGACUAGGGAGUUUUGUGGAUGGGGUCUUGUCAGCCUCAUUAGCCUGUGUUUCCUUCUGCUUACUAUGUGAGCAUUCCCCAAGCAGCCACCAGUUGGUCUGAAGCCAGCAGGAUCCUCCUGCUUUCUCAGUCCACACAUUCUUCCUGCACCCCAAGUCUCCCAUCACCAUCAGGAAGCCCACCCUUCUCACUCUCAGCGAUGGCUGCUUCUGCCAUGAAAUCAUCUAAUACUUCAUAUCACUGUUGAACCACUGCUUGAGAAUCUGGUUUAAGAAUUUACUAUAACUUCCUAGAGAUAGGCAUCCAAAAAAGGCUAUUUAUCAUGUUUUUAGGCCAUGAAAUUCAUAUUUCUCUGAAAAAUAAAUUUCUUAAAACCAAAAGACAUAAUCUGCUAAGUACAAAACCCUAUCACAGGUUCUUGGUUCAUCCAACACUCUGGAUGAGGGUUCUUGUCAAAUCAGACUACAUUGGCUGUCCCACAGUCACCAUCAGCUGCAUUAUUCUGCACUGUGACCACUGGAUUUUGUAAGUCACAUUCAUCUUCAUCAUUUCAACAGAAAUCCCAGUUGCAGGAAUUUUCUCCUGACAUGUGGAUAUCAGUAAAAUGUUCAAUGAACAGUUUAUCAGGAACAUAGGCAAUAUUUCCAUAAGCCCUUAUGAUAAUGUACUCAGGAACAGACUUACCUUCUAGAAAGAAUGGCAUGGUUUUCUUCACUCUCAUCUGACAAUUAAUUUGUCGCCCUGUUUUCCUUUUAGAGGUCCUCUGACGAGCCACAAGCUGAGCAAUCCUCGCAGUCUCUGUGCAGGCUACAGCAUAGCAGACAAUCUGUGAGCAGCAGAGUGAGAGCAGGGCAUUCUGAGAGCCAGUUUGUGAAGGCCGAGUCCCGAAGGAUUCGUGUGUUCCCGCGUAUUCUUGCUGGCAAGAGGUCGCGCGGGACAUCUGGUGCCGAAACCCGGGAGAAACGCCACACCAUCGCCAGGCGCCAAGAGGGGGUCUUCCGUCUGCGGAAGGAAUCCAGAACUGUAGUGUUUAAAAGGAUGCUACAAGAGUGUGCCAGCUGCCUGAGUGGUUGCUGAGACUUGCUGAUCCUGGGAGCAUAAAGAUUCAGCUCUCCUGGUUCGGGUCCCUGAGUCAUUCCUCUGCCCCAAGAGGAAGAUGGAAGAUUCCCCCCUCAUCUUUUGUCAUCACAGAGAUUUUGCCGUUGCUACAGUCAGUGUUACCGCUGUGUGUGUCCCGUCCCACUGUGGCCUGCUCUCUGACCCUCUGUGCACUGCUGCUUGCUGGAGAAGACUGGACUCCAGCCGUUGCUGCCCCCCUCAUUUCCCUGGUGACUCUUGCUGCCUUAACUGGUGUUGUCAUCUUGCAGUCUGUAGCUUCACAAGAAUGCCAUCUGUGUGAAGCUGCUGUGGACUGGGGAACUCUGUCCUGGUUGUACAGAUCUCAGACAUGGUUCCAUUGGCUGCUGGUUGUUCCAGAGAUCCUGAACUGUCCUGGAAAAGACCUUGACACUUUCGCUACUAUUGUAGCAGCCAUUACUGCUGCAGAAAUUGUGUCUGCAGUGUCUGGAGUUAUCCUCCCCCAAUCUAUUGUUAGACAAGCACAGUGGGUGAACUUUCUGGAGUAGUUGCUAACAAUUAGGAAUUCUAAAUUUUAUUAUAGGAGCGGCUUGACUAUGGCUCUUGGUGGUAACAGCUGAGGUGAACCAGAUGAGGUGCCCACUACUUAUCGGGAGUGGCUCUGUUUAAUGCAGCCCUAUGCUGUGGAUAAGUGUUCAUGCUAUGGUUGGUUUGCAAACUCAGAUCUCAACAGAAACGUGACAAGGCCGUUAUCACUCAAGCACUUGUGGCCAUUGAACAAGGGGCCUCCCCUAAAAUUUGGUUAUCUAUCUUCAAAAAUUAGUCGGUAUCUGAGUUCUCUGCUCUUGCACCCCAUGGAUCUGUGGAUCCAUUGCACUGGGAUGAGAGAGACUCAAUGAUCCUUUGAUCAGCCCUUCCACAUCUGAGGUUUCCUCAUUGCACGCGAUAGGGUGAUCAUGAUUGUUAUAAAUAAAAUAAUAAGGGGGAGAUGUAGAGGGCCGCAAUAACAUUCGCCACCACAAGAUGGCGCUGGCUUCCACUGCGCCCCACGUGGAAAGCUGGGAUAGCUUUCGCCAUUACAAGAUGGCGCUGGCCUCCGCUGCGCCAGCCGACUUCCUUUCAGGAAGUUAACUGUGUGCGCAUGUGCAAGAGUGCCUUCGUGCCAGGUCUUUGCCCACUCCAGGGCGUGCUUAAUGAGAUCAUGGGUAAGCAACCAAUCAGGUGUGGAUGCGCCGCGCUAGGGUGUAUAUAAGCUGCGCCAUGCUGGCGCCGGCGCCCUCUCUAUUAUUAAUAAAUAUAAACAUUUGGCUACAGAA